rnacentral:rRNA from 1 species
CAGUCGUACCUUCGGGUAAUCAGCCUUUCGGGUGCGAUUCUGUGGAGUUUGAGGAGCUUAACACCUUCAUGCUUUGCAUAUUCGUGCUCUUGGGUGUACUUGCCCGUGUGGUUGGUUAACAUCAAUUUCGGGCACCAUAAAAUGGCUGGAGGAAUGUAGCUUCGAUCUUGUAUUGAAGUGUUAUAGCCUUCGGUAGAUGUGGUGAUCGAGAUUGAGGAUUGCAACGGAUACCUUUCGGGGCUACCUGUCUGAUCUCUGAUCGUUGCUUUGGUGCUGAAAGCGUGCUUAUAGUUAUUAAAGUCGAUGGUCAAUAGGUUAGAAUGGGUUAAA